UAAGGAAUAUUGGUCAAUGGACGCAAGUCUGAACCAGCCAUGCCGCGUGAAGGAUUAAGGUCCUCUGGAUUGUAAACUUCUUUUAUAGGGGGCGAAAAAAGGUCUUUUCAGAUCACUUGACAGUACCCUAUGAAUAAGCACCGGCUAACUCCGUGCCAGCAGCCGCGGUAAUACGGAGGGUGCAAGCGUUAUCCGGAUUCACUGGGUUUAAAGGGUGCGUAGGCGGGCAGUUAAGUCAGUGGUGAAAUCCUGGAGCUUAACUCCAGAACUGCCAUUGAUACUAAUUGUCUUGAAUAUGGUGGAGGUAAGCGGAAUAUGUCAUGUAGCGGUGAAAUGCAUAGAUAUGACAUAGAACACCUAUUUGCGAAGGCAGCUUUACUUACGCCUAUAUUGACGCUGAGGCACGAAAGCGUGGGGAUCAAAC
rnacentral:rRNA from 1 species